AGCGAACGCUGGCGGCAGGCUUAACACAUGCAAGUCGAGCGGGCACUUUCGGGUGUCAGCGGCGGACGGGUGAGUAACGCGUGGGAACGUGCCCUCUGGUUCGGAAUAACUCAGGGAAACUUGAGCUAAUACCGGAUACGCCCUUUUGGGGAAAGGCUUGCUGCCGGAGGAUCGGCCCGCGUCUGAUUAGCUAGUUGGUGAGGUAACGGCUCACCAAGGCGACGAUCAGUAGCUGGUCUGAGAGGAUGAUCAGCCACACUGGGACUGAGACACGGCCCAGACUCCUACGGGAGGCAGCAGUGGGGAAUAUUGGACAAUGGGCGCAAGCCUGAUCCAGCCAUGCCGCGUGAGUGAUGAAGGCCUUAGGGUUGUAAAGCUCUUUUAUCCGGGACGAUAAUGACGGGACCGGAGGAAUAAGCCCCGGCUAACUUCG
rnacentral:rRNA from 1 species